rnacentral:rRNA from 1 species
AUUGAACGCUGGCGGCAUGCUUUACACAUGCAAGUCGAACGGCAGCGGGGUAGUGCUUGCACUACUGCCGGCGAGUGGCGAACGGGUGAGUAAUAUAUCGGAACGUACCGAGUAAUGGGGGAUAACCAAUCGAAAGAUUGGCUAAUACCGCAUACGUCCUGAGGGAGAAAGCGGGGGAUCGCAAGACCUCGCGUUAUUCGAGCGGCCGAUAACUGAUUAGCUAGUUGGUGGGGUAAAGGCCUACCAAGGCGACGAUCAGUAGCGGGUCUGAGAGGACGAUCCGCCACACUGGGACUGAGACACGGUCCAGACUCCUACGGGAGGCAGCAGUGGGGAAUUUUGGACAAUGGGGGCAACCCUGAUCCAGCCAUGCCGCGUGUAUGAAGAAGGCCUUCGGGUUGUAAAGUACUUUUGUUAGGGAAGAAAAGGGAAGUGCUAAUACCACUUUUUGCUGACGGUACCUAAAGAAUAAGCACCGGCUAACUACGUG